GUAAGGAAUAUUGCUCAAUGGCCGAAAGGCUGAAGCAGCAACGCCGCGUGAAGGAUGAAUGGCUUUGGCUUGUAAACUUCUGUAGAAGAGGAAAAAUGAACCAGCAUGACUGGUUUUGAUUGUACUCUUAAAGUAAGCCCCGGCUAACUACGUGCCAGCAGCCGCGGUAAUACGUAGGGGGCAAGCGUUGUCCGGAUUUACUGGGUGUAAAGGGUGCUCAGGCGGAUUUGUAAGUCAGUGGUGAAAUCUUUCGGCUUAACCGGAAAACUGCCAUUGAUACUGCAAGUCUUGAGUUUGGAAGAGGGUGAUGGAAUAUCUGGUGUAGCAGUGAAAUGCGUAGAUAUCAGAUAGAACACCAAUGGCGAAGGCAGUCACCUGGUCCAAUACUGACGCUAAAGCACGAAAGUGUGGGGAGCAAACAGGAUUAGAAACCCCGGUAGUCC
rnacentral:rRNA from 1 species